GGGAGAGUGGAAAUAGAUUCGAGUUUUCUGAGGAAGUGGGUGGUAUCUUGAAUAUAGCUGGGGAUAUUGCAGAGUAGGGGGGUUGAGAAUAGAAUCAAUAUAUCCAGACAAAAAUUCAGUGAGUGUACCACGGCAAGAGACAAUGGGUCUACCAGGAGGGGUUAUAGAUAACGACUUGGCAAUAGCGAAGAUGAGGGGGGAUUUUAAGAUGGUGAGAGAGAAGCGAGCGGGAUGAGAGCCUCAAGGCCUUGCUAACAAGAGAACCUAAUUUGUGUAGCUUGGGGAUAGUGUAAAAAAUGCCGGGUUUAGGUUCCUGUGGGAUGAAAUCAUUAAAAGUAACAUCAACAUGAUCGAGUUUAGACAUUAAAUCAAGUAAAUCAUUAUGAUAAUCAUUAGUAGGAUCGGUAGGCAAAAUAUUGUAAAAAUUAGGAUUAUUCAGCUGAUUUUCUGCAUCUUUUAUGUAAUCAUCUUUGUCAAGUAUAACAAUUAAGCCGUCUUUAUCAGCAGCCUUAAUAACAAUGUCCGAAUUGUUUUUUAAGUCCUUGAUAGCUUUGCGUUCAUUUUUGUUUAAGUUGUCUCGAGUGGAUUUGGACAAAGCGUUAGUAAGGAAUUGGUCUAGACAUAGAGCAAAGAAACAGAUUCUUUGCUCUAUGUUCAAACAAAAAUACAGGAAUAAAGAGUUAAAGUUGAAGUAACUUCAACGAAUAGGCCUAGUGUAUCCUAUACUAGGAAAUUAUUCCAAUAUACGGUACGGUAUUAAUUCUGAAAGGUCUUCUUUACAGGCUAUAUUAAGUAAUACAAGUUUAAGCUACUCGUGUAUGGUUGUGUUUGACAAAAAAUGUUCGAAGUAGUAAUAAAUGUAGUAGCCAAUUUCUAGUAGGAAGUAAUAUUUGGCACCAACCAAAGGAAGUUGGUAGCCAGACUUCAAAUGUAAAUUAAAAUGCAUCGUAUAAAAAGAUAUAAACCUUGAAAUGUUCUUAUCUAAACUUAUCUCAAAAGUGAAUAUUGGUAUAUUACGGUAAACUAAGAAAAGGAAUGAUUUUCCUGAGGAAACUACACUACGUGCUUUUAAUAUUAAUGGUCAUAUUAUUUCAUUGUUUUACAAGCCUAUUGUGCGCAGAACAUUUUAACUUUUUGCAUAGUGUCUUUUUGUAAUUCCUUCAUGCAGUGUGAUAAAAAAAAAACUGUUUUACAGGAUCUCUCUACUAACCAGUAAUAUUCGUCAACAGAUCAGUUCAGUUACGUAAAGGAAUGAACUAUGCUGGUUGUUAUAAACGUAUACUUUACUGUCGGAUUCGGUGAUAUUUGGAGAACACAAUGUCUUUUAUUUUCAAUUUUAAGUUAAGACUCGCCGACAUCGAAAGACAAAAGUUUCAUUAAGAAAUGAAAACAAUAUCCAGACUACGUUAUUAUUGCAUUUUUUUAAUGAAUUUAUUUCGUCUUACCAAAAUUAAUCAUUAUAAACAUGGAAUUAUAUUAACAAAACGUUGUUUAAGAAUUUUACCCCUUGAAGUAAGAAGAUGGGAUAACACUCCUGUAAAUAACGGGACUUUUAAAAUGUGCACCUUAAAUUGCAUGUCAUCAUUUCACAUUAGUUUGUUCAUUUUAUUCUAAUAUUAGAAAUAAUUUAUUACUGUACCUGAAUUUGAUUGUAUUAACCUUUAUUUUAAAUGGUGUCAUAUUUCAUCAACUAGAAAUAUAUCAUUAUUGAAUAAAUUUAGCCAAAUACGUUUGAUUCUUUUGAAAUAUAAUUUCAGAUAACUGUAUUAACGUUUUAUUCUUUAUCAUGUAAAUGGACUAUACCAUAAGUACCAACACAUGUCCUAUUGCAAUUGCCUAGGAACAAAUUUAUUACUCUUAUUUUAUUUAAUAAACUUCUCACUUACAAAAAUACAAUAGGUUACAAACACCUCUACAAUGGCUCAAAAAUACAAAAAAAAAAAA